rnacentral:rRNA from 1 species
GACGAACGCUGGCGGCGUGCCUAAUACAUGCAAGUAGAACGCUGAAGCUUGGUGCUUGCACCGAGCGGAUGAGUUGCGAACGGGUGAGUAACGCGUAGGUAACCUGCCUGGUAGCGGGGGAUAACUAUUGGAAACGAUAGCUAAUACCGCAUAAGAGUAGAUGUUGCAUGACAUUUGCUUAAAAGGUGCAAUUGCAUCACUACCAGAUGGACCUGCGUUGUAUUAGCUAGUUGGUGGGGUAACGGCUCACCAAGGCGACGAUACAUAGCCGACCUGAGAGGGUGAUCGGCCACACUGGGACUGAGACACGGCCCAGACUCCUGCGGGAGGCAGCAGUAGGGAAUCUUCGGCAAUGGACGGAAGUCUGACCGAGCAACGCCGCGUGAGUGAAGAAGGUUUUCGGAUCGUAAAGCUCUGUUGUAAGAGAAGAACGAGUGUGAGAGUGGAAAGUUCACACUGUGACGGUAUCUUACCAGAAAGGGACGGCUAACUACGUGCCAGCAGCCGCGGUAAUACGUAGGUCCCGAGCGUUGUCCGGAUUUAUUGGGCGUAAAGCGAGCGCAGGCGGUUAGAUAAGUCCGAAGUUAAAGGCUGUGGCUUAACCAUAGUACGCUUUGGAAACUGUUUAACUUGAGUGCAAGAGGGGGGAGUGGAAUUCCAUGUGUAGCGGUGAAAUGCGUAGAUAUAUGGAGGAACACCGGUGGCGAAAGCGGCUCUCUGGCUUGUAACUGACGCUGAGGCUCGAAAGCGUGGGGAGCAAACAGG